rnacentral:lncRNA from 1 species
AUGAGAUGAGAUGAAAUGAGAUGCAAUAAUGAGAUGAAAUGCGAUAACGAGAUGAGAUGAGAUGAAAUCAUGAGAUGAAAUGAUGAAAUGAAAUGAUGGAUGAAAUGAUGAGAUGAAAUGUAAUGAGAUGAAAUGACAAAUGAAAUAAUGAAAUGAGAUGAAAUGAAAUAAUGAAAUGAUGAGAUGAGAAGAAAUGAUGAGAUGAAAUGAUGAAAUGAUGAGAUGAGAUAAAAUGAGAUGAAAUGAUGAGAUGAAAUGAUGAGAUGAAAUGAAAUGAUGAGAUGAGAUGAAAUAUGAGAUGAAAUGACAUAAUGAAAUGAAAUGAUGAAAUGGAAUAAUGAAAUGGAAAUGAUGAGAUGAGAUGCAAUGAGUUGAAAUGAGAUGAAAUGAUGAAAUGAUGAGAUGAAACGAUGAGAUGUGAUGAAAUGAUGACAUGAAAUGAUGACAUAAAAUGAGAUGAAAUGAGAUGUAAUGAUGAAAUGAGAUGAGAUGAAAUGAGAUGAAAUGAUGAGAUGAGAUAAAAUGAUGAUAUGAAAUGAGAUGAGUGAUGAGAUGAAAUGAUGAGAUGAGAUGAUGAGAUGAAAUGAUGAGAUGAACUGAUGAGAUGAAAUGAAAUGAAAUAAUGAAAUUGAAAUAAAAUUGAAAUGAGAUGAAAUGAUAAGAUGAGAUGAUGAAAUAAAAUGAUGAAAUGAUGAGAUGAAAUGAUGAGAUGAGAUGACAUGAAAUAAUGAAAUGAAAUAAUGACAUGAAAUUGAAAUGAGAUGAGAAGAUAUGAGAUGAGAUGAAAUGAUGAAAUGAUAAGAUGAAAAGAGUUGAUGAGAUGAUGAGAUAAAAUGAUGAGAUGAAAGAUGAGAUGAAAUGAUGAGAUGAAAGAUGAGAUGAAAUGAUGAGAUGAAAUGGGAUGAAAUGAAAUUAGACGAAAUGUAAUGAGAUGAAAUGAAAUGACAUAAAUGAAAAAAUGAAAUGAAAUAAUGAAAUGAGGUGAAAUUAAAUGAGAUGAUGAAAUUAAAUGAUGAAAUGAAAUGAUGAAAUGGAAAUGAUGAGAUGAAAUGCCGAGAUGAAUGAUGGAUUUGAAAUGAUGAGAUGCAAUGAUGAGAUGAAAUCAUGAAAUCAUGAGAUGAGAUGAGAUGUAAUGAUGAGAGGAAAUGAUGAGAUGUAAUGAAAUCCCCCGCACUGCAUCCGAUGAAAUGAAAUAAUGCAAGGAAAUUGAAUUGACCCUAUCACCCGGAAUGAGCUAAAAUGAGAUGAAAUAAGAAAUGAUGUUUUGUUUUGUUGACAUGCUGAGGUGAGAUGAGAUGAGAUGAGACGAAAGAUGAGAUGAGAUGAGACGAAACGAUGAGAUGAAAUGAAAGGAAGAGAUGAAAGGCCGAGAUGAAAUGAUGAGAUGAGGUGAGAUGAAAUGAGAUGAAACAAGAUGAAAUGAUGAAAUGAUGAGAUGAGAAGAAAUGAGAUGAAAUGAGAUGAGAUAAAAUGAUGAGAUGAAAUGAAGUGAAAUGAAAUGAAAUAAUGAAAUGAAAUUGAAAUGAGAUGAGAUGAAAUGAGAUAAAAUGAUGAGAUGAAAUGAUGAGAAGAAAUGAGAUGAAAUGAUGAAAUGAUGAGAUGAGAUGAUGAGAUGAAAAAUGAUGAGAUGAAAUGGUGAGAUGAAAUGAAAUGAAAUAAUGAAAUGAGAUGAAAUGAAAAGAAAUGAUGAUAUUGAAAUGAAAUUGAAAGAUGAGAUGAAAUGAAAUGUUGAAAUGAAAUGAUGAAAUGAGAUGUGACAUGAAAUGAUGAGCUGAAAUGAUGAGAUGAAAUGAAGUGAAAUGAGAUUAGAUGAUGAGAUGAAAAAUGAUGAGAUGAAAAAUGAGAUGAAAUGAUGAAUUGAGAUGAGAUGAGAUGAAAUAAUGAAAUUAGGUGAAAUAAUGAAAUGAGAUGAAAUAAUGAAAUGAAAUUGAAAUGAGAUGAGAAGAAAUGAGAUGAAAUGUUGAAAGGAGGAAAUGAUGAGAUGAGGAGAUGAAAUGAUGAGAUGAAAUGAAUUGAGAUGAAAUGAUGAGAUGAAAAAUGAUAUGAAAAAUGAUAUAAAAAAUAUGAGAUGAAAUGAAAUGAGAUGAUAUGAAAUGACAUAAUGAAAUAAAUGAAAUUAGAUGAAAUGAAAUGAAAUAGUGAAAUGAAAUGAUGAAAUGAAAUAAUGAAAAUGAAAUGGAAAUGAGAUGAGAUGAGAUUUGAUGAAAUGAGAUGAUAUGAAAUGAUGGGAUGAGAUGAGAUGAGAUGAAAUGAUGAGAUAAAAUGAUGAGAUGAAAUGAUGAGAUAAAAUGAUGAGAUGAAAUGAUGAGGUGAAGUGAUGCACUGUCACGUGUGUGUCUAUUCUUUUUCCCAACCAACAAAAAUUAUAAAUCAUUAAUUUUUUAUUAUUUAAGAAUAUUCUUAAGAGUUGAAGGAAAAAUAAUAUCUGUACAUUAUGGGUUACAAUGUAAGUAUAAAUAAUACAUAAAUAUAUUAAAACUUACAAAGAAUAUGUUUUGGAAUCGAAUAUACCAUGCUUCUGUGAUGACAGUUAUUUCAUGCUGGUUGUCACAAUUUUACAUGAAAAACUAAUGAAAAAAUGUUUUUAACUGUUUCUAAAAAUAACAGUUUCCAAAACAGUUUUACAUUCGAAAUAUGAAAAAGAUGUCUUUGUGUUCCUUAAUCUGAUGAGAUUUUCACACUCUGCACAUGAUAAUUGUUAGAUUUUUAUUGUGUUGAUAAAUUGUAUAUCAAAAAAUGUUAUUACCUCUUAAAUUAGGAUUUUUAGGUGAUAUAGGCAGAAAGGAAGGCAAGUUUUUAUAACUUUGUCUAAAUGAACUUUGUAAAUGCCUGAGUAUUAAAAGAUAGCAUGUCUAUAAAUCACAAUGUAUAUAUUACUGUAUGACCUAGGACCAAUCAAAACCAUUACCUCUGAUAACAUUAUAUUGUGCCCAGUAUAAAAUAGAUAUAAUAAUACCUCAAACUUAAAUCCAGGCAUUGUCAUUGAAUAUCUUAAGAAUAUGCAGCAAAGGUGCUUUUAAAAAUACAAGCUAGUGAUUGUACUAAAUUUGUAAAUCACAUAGGAUAGUGGGUCAUUUUAAGAAUAUUAUUUCAAUCUAUAAACGUGGAUGUCUUUCCUUUUUUGUGUUUUCUUUAAUUUCUUUCAUUAGUAUUUGUCAUUUUUGUUGUCGAAAUCUUUUACUUCCUUGGUUAAAUUUAUUUCUAAGUACAUUUUUGUAGCUAUUGUAAAAGGAAUUGCUUUCUUAAUUUCUUGUUUCAGCUAGUUUACUAUCAAUAUAUAGAAAUGCUACUGA